AUACCCUCAAAAACUCCUUUUUCCCUAACAAAAACAUUCUGAAUGAUACCCCCCUAUGGCUCUUAAGUGGAUCUGGGUUGUUCUCUUGCAAGAGUGCUUAUAACCAUAUCUAUAGCAAGAGAACCAAUCAACUCAACAGCCCUAGUUCCUGGGGUUGGAUUUGGAAAGCUACCAUUCCCCCAAAGCUAAAAAAAUCUUCCUUUGAUUUUUAAAUCACAACAGCCUCCCCAUAAAAGCAACCUUAACCAACAAAGGCAUAAACAUCUUUCCUUACUGUCACCUUUGUGAUAAUCUCUAGGAGGAUGUUCAGCAUCUCUUCUUUGAUUACAAUCAGGCUAACACCCUUUAGAGGGAACUAAUACAACACUACCAUGGUGAUGCUGACAUCACCAUCCAUAGUUUCUCCCCCACUAACUGGGAAGACACGUGGAAAUUGCUCAAUCACACUAGUUUGUCAAUUAUGUUGACUGGCC
rnacentral:lncRNA from 1 species